AUCCCUAUUUGGCGCCGGGACCAGAGUGAUCACGAAUGCCCUGGCCCCAGGUGGAGGCUCGCCUUUGCACUUCGGCGUGUUGAAGCCUGCAACGAUC
rnacentral:snRNA from 15 species